GUUCCCCUACGGGAGGCAGCAGUGAGGAAUAUUGGUCAAUGGACGAGAGUCUGAACCAGCCACGUCGCGUGAGGGAUGACGGCCCUACGGGUUGUAAACCUCUUUUGUCGGGGAGCAAAGAGAGUCACGUGUGGCUCAUUGAGAGUACCCGAAGAAAAAGCAUCGGCUAACUCCGUGCCAGCAGCCGCGGUAAUACGGAGGAUGCGAGCGUUAUCCGGAUUUAUUGGGUUUAAAGGGUGUGCAGGCGGAGGUGCAAGUCAGUGGUCAAAUUGCGGGGCUCAACCCCGUACUGCCGUUGAAACUGC
rnacentral:rRNA from 1 species